rnacentral:lncRNA from 1 species
CUUUCAUCCUUGUGUUCAGACACAGCCAUUUUGAUAGGUCUCCUCCACCUUUAUUUGAAAGUGCUGAACUGACACUUUUCCCAGCUGUGAAGAGCAACAGUCACGCAGGGUAAGAUGCCUUCCCUCAACCAAUGCAAAAGGGAACAAAGCUCUGAUCAGCAGAGGGACAAAAGUUUCUGUCAAUAUCUGUCAUAGGAACACCUGUUAAAUGGCCCUUAAAGAGGACUUUCACAACUUGAGCUGGAAGCACAAAGCCAAACAUAGCAGGAGGCAACUACAAUGCUCUGCUGCUAAUCUGAGAGAAAAGGUCCUACCAGGAGAGACAUCAGAGUAGCAGACAACCUUUGAACCUCUGAAGUAGCUUCCAGUCCUACUAUUGCCACCAGGAAUAAAAUUUAGCACUGCUGUGGAUUUGGCCA